AACGAACGCUGGCGGCAUGCCUAACACAUGCAAGUCGAACGAGUGCCUUCGGGUGCUAGUGGCGCACGGGUGAGUAACGCGUGGGAACCUGCCUUAUGGUACGGGAUAACGUCGGGAAACUGACGCUAAUACCGUAUAUGUCUUUGGAUGAAGGAUUUAUCGCCCUGAGAUAAGCCCGCGUAGGAUUAGCUAGUUGGUGGGGUAAAGGCUCACCAAGGCGACGAUCCUUAGCUGGUCUGAGAGGAUGAUCAGCCACACUGGGACUGAGACACGGCCCAGACUCCUACGGGAGGCGAGCAGUGGGGAAUAUUGGACAAUGGGCGAAAGCCUGGU
rnacentral:rRNA from 1 species